rnacentral:rRNA from 1 species
CAGCAGCCGCGGUAAUACGUAGGUGGCAAGCGUUGUCCGGAAUUAUUGGGCGUAAAGGGCUCGCGGGCGGUUUCUUAAGUCUGAUGUGAAAGCCCCCGGCUCAACCGGGGAGGGUCAUUGGAAACUGGGAAACUUGAGUGCAGAAGAGGAGAGUGGAAUUCCACGUGUAGCGGUGAAAUGCGUAGAGAUGUGGAGGAACACCAGUGGCGAAGGCGACUCUCUGGUCUGUAACUGACGCUGAGGAGCGAAAGCGUGGGGAGCGAACAGGAUUAGAUACCCCUGUAGUCCCUGUCUCUUAUAC